GUGGGGAAUUUUGGACAAUGGGCGCAAGCCUGAUCCAGCAAUGCCGCGUGCAGGAAGAAGGCCUUCGGGUUGUAAACUGCUUUUGUACGGAACGAAACGGUCCUGGUUAAUACCUGGGGCUAAUGACGGUACCGUAAGAAUAAGUACCGGCUAACUACGUGCCAGCAGCCGCGGUAAUACGUAGGGUGCGAGCGUUAAUCGGAAUUACUGGGUGUAAAGCGUGCGCAGGCGGUGCUGUAAGACAGGCGUGAAAUCCCCGGGCUCAACCUGGGAAUUGCGCUUGUGACUGCAGUGCUGGAGUACGGCAGAGGGGGAUGGAAUUCCGCGUGUAGCAGUGAAAUGCGUAGAUAUGCGGAGGAACACCGAUGGCGAAGGCAGUCCCCUGGGCCUGUACUGACGCUCAUGCACGAAAGCGUGGGGAGCAAACAGGAUUAGAAACCCUUGUAGUCC
rnacentral:rRNA from 1 species